CUCUUAUUAAGAGCAGGUGGAGGGACUAGCCCGAUGAAACCCGGCAACCAUUCAGUUAAUUUUGCUUAACUGAAAACGGUGCUAAUUCUUGCAGUCGAACGUUUGGCUGAGAGAUAAGAG
rfam:Fictibacillus phosphorivorans strain G25-29, complete genome.